rnacentral:lncRNA from 1 species
GCAGGGACUUGUAUGGUGGGGUGGUUCAAACUGGACCUUUGCUUUAUUGGGGAUCCAGUGGAGAGACCAGAGCAAUGGAGGGCUGUGUGUGUAGAGAAGAGACCGAGGAGGAGAACGAGACGGAGACGAACCCGAGCUCAAGCUCGAACCUGUUCCCAGAGACGAUGCCUGCGUCCCGGCCGACCCGACUCUCCCAGCCCCCCUGACCUGCUCAAAACCUCAUCCUGCCUGUUCCCUGGUCCCCCUUUUCCAUCCCCUUCCUUCCCACCCGUUGUAAGGGCAAAUAAAAGCCUUCAUCAACAGGCAACUGCACCUCUUGCCUCCUGCCUCAUCUCUUACACACACACAUACUGCACAAGGACCAACUUCUACAGGCCUACAGUGUCGCAAAUACAUGGGUACAAACUGUACGCCAAAAGGUUGCAACAUAUUGCAUCUAUGUAUGAUCA